rnacentral:rRNA from 1 species
AUGAUCGGCAGCACAUCUAUGCACAAGUCCAGGACGCAGACGCAAAUGUUUGUUGCACGGACACACGGGAAAGUUAUGGAAACGGUAAAUGUGUGGUUUGAUGAAUCUAAUGGCUCCCAUAUCGAGCACCUGCCUAAUGUGAUAUAUGAACCACCGAUUUUGGAUGGUAUUCAGCAAAUGGCCAUUGGGAGCAUCAGGCCAGUUGAAGGAAAUGUACAUGACUCUUUCGAUGAUGAUGCCCCCAUGACUCGAAGCAGAACACGCCAAGCCAUUGCUGAAGAUAAUGCUACUCCGAACACUAAUGGCAAUCAAAAUGGCAAUCCCGAUAAAAAUGGCGACCCAAAUGCUCAUCCCGAUGCUGAUACUGAGGAAAAUGAAAAUGGUCAUCAAGAUGAAAAUCCUCACCGCACGAGUGGCUAA